CACGUAGGGGGCGAGCGUUGUCCGGAUUUAUUGGGCGUAAAGAGCUCGUAGGCGGCUCAGUAAGUCGGGUGUGAAAACUCCAGGCUCAACCUGGAGACGCCACCCGAUACUGCUGUGGCUAGAGUCCGGUAGGGGAGCAUGGAAUUCCUGGUGUAGCGGUGAAAUGCGCAGAUAUCAGGAGGAACACCAGUGGCGAAGGCAGCUCGCUGGGACGUAACUGACGCUGAGACGCGAAAGCGUGGGGAGCAAACAGG
rnacentral:rRNA from 1 species